GACAGAGGUGCCGAGCGUUAGGCGGAAUCACUGGGCUUAAAGCGUGUGUAGGCGGGCCGUUAAGUGUCUUGUGAAAUCCCCCGGCUUAACCUGGGAACUGCGUCUGAUACUGGGAGGCUUGAGUAUGGGAGAGGGAUGUAGAAUUCCAGGUGUAGCGGUGAAAUGCGUAGAUAUCUGGAGGAAUACCGGUGGCGAAGGCGGCAUCCUGGACCAUAACUGACGCUGAGGCGCGAAAGCUAGGGGAGCAAACGGG
rnacentral:rRNA from 1 species